AUGGUUCUUACAAAAGGAAUUACAGUUGAGUCAGCUUCAGUUUCCAGUCUUGUUGACAUACUCUGCAGUUGGCACUGUGGCUUACACACUACUCUGAAAAAGUGCCUUACAGAUAUGUGCUUUGACCUGAGGUUUCUUCCUUCACAGAGAAGAUCUACAGUAGGUUCUGUUGAUCCAGCUAGGAAACCAGAAGACAGCUCUGAGUAACUGAAAGCACCGUCAUCUAGCCAUUCAAUAAACUGUGCUAUAAUAAAAGGUCA
rnacentral:lncRNA from 1 species